rnacentral:rRNA from 1 species
UACGUAGGUGGCAAGCGUUGUCCGGAUUUACUGGGCGUAAAGGGCGUGCAGGCGGUCUGUUAAGUCUAGGGUGAAAGCUCCCGGCUCAACUGGGAGAGGUCCUUGGAUACUGGCGGACUUGAGGGAGGCAGAGGAAAGUGGAAUUCCCGGUGUAGUGGUGAUAUGCGUAGAUAUCGGGAGGAACACCUGUGGCGAAGGCGGCUAUCUGGCGGUACAUUGACGCUGAGGCGCGAAAGCGUGGGGAGCAAACAGG